CAGUAGCCGCGGUAAUACGGAGGGUGCAAGCGUUAAUCGGAAUUACUGGGCGUAAAGCGCACGCAGGCGGUCUGACAAGUCAGAUGUGAAAUCCCCGGGCUUAACCUGGGAACUGCAUUUGAAACUGUCAGGCUGGAGUCUUGUAGAGGGGGGUAGAAUUCCAGGUGUAGCGGUGAAAUGCGUAGAGAUCUGGAGGAAUACCGGUGGCGAAGGCGGCCCCCUGGACAAAGACUGACGCUCAGGUGCAAAAGCGUGGGGAGCAAACAGGAUUAGAUACCCGCGUAGUCCCUGUCUCUUAUAC
rnacentral:rRNA from 1 species